rnacentral:rRNA from 1 species
GAUGAACGCUGGCGGCGUGCUUAACACAUGCAAGUCGAACGGUGAAGGCGGAGCUUGCUCUGCUGGAUCAGUGGCGAACGGGUGAGUAACACGUGAGCAAUCUGCCCCUGACUCUGGGAUAAGCGCUGGAAACGGCGUCUAAUACUGGAUACGAGCUUCCACCGCAUGGUGAGUUGUUGGAAAGAUUUUUCGGUCAGGGAUGAGCUCGCGGCCUAUCAGCUUGUUGGUGAGGUAAUGGCUCACCAAGGCGUCGACGGGUAGCCGGCCUGAGAGGGUGACCGGCCACACUGGGACUGAGACACGGCCCAGACUCCUACGGGAGGCAGCAGUGGGGAAUAUUGGUCAAUGGGCGCAAGCCUGAACCAGCCAUCCCGCGUGCAGGAAGACGGCCCUAUGGGUUGUAAACUGCUUUUCCAGGGAGAGAAACUUACGCACGUGUUGCGUGACUGACGGUACCCUGGGAAUAAGCAUCGGCUAACUCCG